UUAAGCAUAUAAAUAAGCGGAGGAGAAGAAACUUAUAAGGAUUCCCCUAGUAACGGCGAGCGAACCGGGAGCAGCCCAGCUUGAGAAUCGGGCGGCUGUGCCGUCCGAAUUGUAGUCUGGAUAGGCGUCCUCAGCGACGGACCGGGCCCAAGUCCCCUGGAAAGGGGCGCCUGGGAGGGUGAGAGCCCCGUCCGGCCCGAACCCUGUCACCCCACGAGGCGCCGUCAACGAGUCUUUGUGUAUGAAUGGACAGUGUCUGAAUGCAUUCAUCAU
rnacentral:rRNA from 1 species